rnacentral:antisense_RNA from 2 species
CUCUACGGCGGGCCUUGGCAGGGAUGCCUUCGGGCAUGCCGGUUUUGGAAAUGAGUCCGGUCCGCUAACCCUGUCUUGUGCCCGCCACCCUC